CAGUAGCCGCGGUAAUACGAAGGGUGCAAGCGUUACUCGGAAUUACUGGGCGUAAAGCGUGCGUAGGUGGUGGUUUAAGUCCGUUGUGAAAGCCCUGGGCUCAACCUGGGAAUUGCAGUGGAUACUGGGUCACUAGAGUGUGGUAGAGGAUAGUGGAAUUUCCGGUGUAGCAGUGAAAUGCGUAGAGAUCGGAAGGAACAUCCGUGGCGAAGGCGACUAUCUGGGCCAACACUGACACUGAGGCACGAAAGCGUGGGGAGCAAACAGGAUUAGAUACCCGCGUAGUCCCUGUCUCUUAUAC
rnacentral:rRNA from 1 species